rnacentral:tRNA from 1 species
CCAAGUAUUAUGAGCCCUUCUUGUGGCGAUUCUGUGGCAAGUUGUAUCUAACCUGCUGAAAUUUAAUAUAAAUAAGUAGCUUCCCAAGCUAAGGGCCGUGGGUUCGAUCCCCAUCACCUGAUCCA